rnacentral:rRNA from 1 species
UUUUCACCCUCGGGUGACAGGGAGACAGGUGGUGCAUGGUUGUCGUCAGCUCGUGUCGUGAGAUGUGGGUUAAGUCCCGCAACGAGCGCAGCCCCACGUUUAGUUGCUAACGCGUGAAGGCGAGCACUCUAGACGAACUGCCGUUGACAAAACGGAGGAAGGUGGGGAUGACGUCAAAUCAUCAUGCCCCUUAUGUUCUGGGCUACACACGUGCUACAAUGGCCGGUACAGACGGACGCAAAGCCGCGAGGUGGAGCAAAUCCUAAAAAGCCGGUCUCAGCUCGGAUUGCAGGCUGCAAUUCGCCUGCAUGAAGUCGGAAUCGCUAGUAAUCGCAGGUCAGCAUACUGCGGUGAAUACGUUCCCGGGCCUU